GAUGAAGAACGUAGCGAAAUGCGAUAAGUAAUGUGAAUUGCAGAAUUCAGUGAAUCAUCGAAUCUUUGAACGCAUCUUGCGCUCCUUGGUAUUCCGAGGAGCAUGCCUGUUUGAGUGUCAUGAAUAUAUCAAACAACCAUUGUUUUAUUAACAGUUGUCUGUUUGGACAUUGGAUGUUUGCUGGACUGUUAUAUGUCACCCGGCUCAUCCGAAAUCUAUUAGCUGGUCUUAAUAUCAUGGAUUUAUCCACUUGGCGUGAUAAGUAUCACCCGCUGAGGACUUUUCCAGAGAUAAUGGAUUGCUUCUAAUCACGGAUACUACUGUAUCGUACUGAAUCAUCUGACCUCAAAUCAGGUAGGACUACCCGCUGAACUUAAGCAUAUCAAUAAGCGGAGGA
rnacentral:misc_RNA from 1 species